ensembl:miRNA microRNA 153-1
UCUGUCCUUCUGUCCUAACCCUCUCCUCUGUCUCUCUCUCCCUCUCACGGCUGCCAGUGUCAUUUUUGUGAUCUGCAGCUAGUGUUCUCUCUCCAGUUGCAUAGUCACAAAAGUGAUCAUUGGAAGGCGUGGCCGCUGCAUGGAC